UUGACACUCCCUAAAUGUACAGCGUUUGGGUGUGAAUAAAGGAUCAUACUGCUUCUGUUACGAGGUUUCAAGAAGAUUUAACGAAAGUUAUAUAAAAUAAAACCGGAAGUUAAAGAAGAAGAAGACAAAGAAUGGCCCAGGCAGG